UACGGGGAGGCAGCAGUGGGGGAAUAUUGCACAAUGGGCGCAAGCCUGAUGCAGCCAUGCCGCGUGUGUGAAGAAGGACCUUCGGGUUGUAAAGCACUUUCAGUCGUGAGGAAGGUAGUGUAGUUAAUAGCUGCAUUAUUUGACGUUAGCGACAGAAGAAGCACCGGCUAACUCCGUGCCAGCAGCCGCGGUAAUACGGAGGGUGCGAGCGUUAAUCGGAAUUACUGGGCGUAAAGCGCAUGCAGGUGGUUUGUUUAAGUCAGAUGUGAAAGCCCGGGGCUCAACCUCGGAAUAGCAUUUGAAACUGGCAGACUAGAGUACUGUAGAGGGGGGUAGGAAUUUCAGGUGUAGCGGUGAAAUGCGUAGAGAUCUGAAGGAAUACCGGUGGCGAAGGCGGCCCCCUGGACAGAUACUGACACUCAGAUGCGAAAGCGUGGGGAGCAAACAGGAUUAGAUACCCUGGUAG
rnacentral:rRNA from 1 species